AACAAGUGAGGCUUUGGAAUAACAGCCACGAGAUUUGGGGAGUCAACGGGCAUCCGGCAUCUUGAAUCAGUGUCUUUCUGAGGCAAAAGGAAAAUAACGCAUCUACCGUAUCUUGAAAUGAAAGCAGAACAUCGUUUGCCGCAAAGCUAGAGCUUAAUGUUUUCAGUGCAACAUGGAUCCCUUUUCUCAACCUUCAUCCAGGAUGUCCUGACUACAACUCCCUCUUCAGAGCUAAAUGGCAAUGACAGCAGAGUCCAAAUGGAUGAUUAAUGCCUAAACCCUAAACUUGCCUUGGAUCAUACGACUGUUUCAGGUCUGCGUUUGUAAUAUUUUGCAAUUCUUAAGAAGAAACAGAAGAAAGGCUGGCGGCCCCUCCUCUUUCCACCAACCCCAGCAUUCAAUAAAUACAGCAGAGGCCACCGUGUUGUUGGACUCGGGCCUCGCUGGCCGCCCCGCAACCCCCACACCUCUUUCCCCUGGAACCCUGAAGAGGUUUCCUCUCUCUUCUCACGGAGGUGAGGCCAACACUGGUGGUUGGAAGGUCUUGGCUGAUAUCAGUUUGCCCCCUGAGGGGGGUCUACCUCAGACAUGCAGCAAACCCAGGGCCUGGUCCUAUCAGGAUGUUAUAUUUUAAGGAUCAGCAAUCAAAACCAAAGACGGCUUUCCAUGCCCUGGAAGUAAAUGCUCAAUUCAAAAUUGCAAUGAGACAUUUCUCAUGAGCAUCUUCCUCCCACCAUCUUCAUAUUCCUCUUGAAUUUUUUUUUCUUAUUCCCUUUUUAUCAUGCACUGUAUGGCAAGUUCUUUGUAUAUAUUAAAUCACUUAAUCCUCAUAAAACCUACUGGCAUUAUUGAAACUAUUUUAUGGAUAAGUCUCGAAGCAGACUUUCUCAGCCUUGGCACUAUUGACAUUUGGGACGUGAUCAUUCUUUUUUAUUUAUUUAUUUAGAAAAAAAUUUUUUAUGUAUAUAUUUUUUUUAUUUUUGAGACAGAGAGAGACAGAACAUGAACGGGGGAGGGUCAGAGAGAGGGAGACACAGAAUCUAAAACAGGCU
rnacentral:lncRNA from 1 species